rnacentral:ncRNA from 1 species
GGGAAGCCGGUGCAAUUCCGGCGCUGACCCGCAACCGUGAACCGCCCGCCGAGCCCCUCCGGGCCCCGGGCCGGUGAGCCGGACUGCC